rnacentral:rRNA from 1 species
CUACGGGUCGCAGCAGUGAGGAAUACUGCACAAUGGGGGGAACCCUGAUGCAGCAACGCCGCGUGGAGGAUGACGCAUUUCGGUGUGUAAACUCCUUUUAUAUGUCAAGAAAAUGACGGUAGCAUAUGAAUAAGCACCGGCUAACUCCGUGCCAGCAGCCGCGGUAAUACGGAGGGUGCAAGCGUUACUCGGAAUCACUGGGCGUAAAGGACGCGUAGGCGGGUUGGAAAGUCAGGUGUGAAACCCUACAGCUUAACUGUAGAACUGCACUUGAAACUUCUAAUCUAGAGUAUGGGAGGGGGAGAUGGGAUUAGUGGUGUAGGGGUAAAAUCCGUAGAUAUCACUAGGAAUACCUAAAGCGAAGGCGAUCUCCUGGAACAUUACUGACGCUAAGGCGUGAAAGCGUGGGGAGCAAACAGGAUUAGAUACCCCUGUAGUC